CCUAAAGGAACGUUUAAGACUAAGACGUUGAUAGGUUGGGUGUGUAAGCAUAGCGAUAUGUUGAGCUAACCAAUACUAAUGAACCGUGAGGCUUAACCUG
rnacentral:rRNA from 1 species